rnacentral:rRNA from 1 species
CCAAGCUAGUAAGGGCGUGUGGGGGAUGUCUAGGCGCCAGGAGGCUGAAGGGCGUGGAAGACUGCGAAAAGUCCGGGGGAGCUGCCAAACGAGCUUUGAUCCCGGAAUACCCGAGCCAACCCGGGGAACUGAAACAUCUCAUUACCCGGCGGAAGGGAAAGAAACCUCGACUCCGUCAGUAGCGGCGAGCGAACGCGGAAGAGCCUAAACCAGCGGGGCAACUCGCUGGGGUUGUAGGACUGCUAAAUCGACCCGAGACCAUAGUCAAACGGCGCGGAAUCGCCGGCCAUAGCGGGUGAAAGCCCCUUAGACGACAGGGUUGGAGGCGUGGCAGGAUCCUGAGUACGACUCAACACGUGAAAGUGAGUCCGAAUCUGCGGGGCCCAUCCCGCAAGGCUAAGUACUCCCUGGCGACCGAUAGCGAAGAGUAGCGCGAGCGAAAGAUGGGAAGAACCCCGAAAGGGGAGGACACUGAACCUGAAACCACACGCCUACAAGCGGUGGGAGGGCUAUGCCCGUAAGGGAAUGCCUGACCGCGUGCCUUUUGCAUAAUGAUCCGGCGACUUACCGUCACCAGCAAGGUUAAGCGGCUUUGCCGCGUAGCCGAAGGGAAACCGAGUCUCAAAUGGGCGUCGAGUUGGCGGCGGUAGACGCGAAACCACGUGACCUACGCAUGGCCAGGACGAAGGUGAGGUAACACUCACUGGAAGACCGAACUCACUAGUGUUGAAAAACUAGGGGAUGAGCUGUGUGGGGGAGUGAAAGUCUAAUCAAACGUGGAGAUAGCUCGUUCUCUCCGAAAUAACUUUAGGGUUAGCGUCCAACUAGUUGGCAGGGGGGGUAGAGCGACUGAUUCCGAACGGGGGCCUACCCGGCUACCCGUCGGAGCCAAACUCCGAAUACCCCUGUACCAAGGUCGGGCAGCUAGACGGUGGGGGAUAAGCUUCAUCGUCGAGAGGGGAACAACCCAGACCACCCGCUAAGGUCCCCGAGUCGUGCUCAGUGCGUAAGGAAGUUGGACCCCCGGGACAGCCGGGAUGUUGGCUUAGAAGCAGCCACCAUUUAAAAAGUGCGUAAUAGCUUACCGGUCGAGGGGUUCUGCGCCGAUAAUGAACGGGACUCAAGCACGACACCGAAGCGGUGGGUGUGGUAACACACGGUAGGAGAGCGUUGCGCGUGCGGCGAAGGAGUACGGAUAACGAGCUCUGGAGCGCGUGCAAGUGAUUAUGCCGGAACGAGUAGACGAUAAAACGGGUGAGAAUCCCGUUCGCCGUAAGCCUAAGGUUUCCUGGGGAAGGUAAAUCCGCCCAGGGUUAGCCGGUGCCUAACACAAGGCCGAGAGGCGUAGUGGAUGGGGAGCAGGUUAAUAUUCCUGCGCUCCCCACGCAAAACGGGACGCCGGUAAGAAGUGGGGUAGGCUAACUAGAUUGCCUCAGGGCUUUUAUGAUCCCGAUACCCACUGACGACCGGCCAAGAAAACCGCGUGGGAAACCGUACUAAAACCGACACAGGUAGGCGAGAUGAGUAUUCUAAGGCGCUCGAGAGAACGCUCGUGAAGGAACUCUGCAAAUUAACCCCGUAACUUCGGGAAAAGGGGUGCCCACUUUGUGGGCCGCAGCGAAAAGGGUCUAGCGACUGUUUACUAAAAACACAGGUCUGUGCGAAGGCGUAAGCCGCGGUAUACAGACUGACGCCUGCCCGGUGCCGGUAAGUUAAGGAAGGGGGUUAGCCGUAAGGUGAAGCCCGCGACUGAAGCUCCGGUAAACGGCGGCCGUAACUAUGACGGUCCUAAGGUAGCGAAGUUCCUUGUCGGGUAAGUUCCGACCUGCAUGAAUGGCGUAACGACUGGACCACUGUCUCCACGAGCGACUCGGUGAAACUGUAGUUGUCGUGAAGAUGCGACAUACCCGCAGCUAGACGGAAAGACCCCGUGAACCUUAACUGUAGCUUGGUAUUGGGUUUAGGCCCGGCAUGCGUAGCGUAGGUGGGACUCCGUGAACCGGGACUUUCGGGUCCCGGGGAGAGGCCGAUGAAACACCACCCUUGCCGUGCUUGAAUUCUAACCCGGACUGGUGAACCCCAGCCGGGGACCGUGCUAAGUGGGCAGUUUGAUUGGGGCGAUCUCCUCCCAAACGGUAACGGAGGAGUCCAAAGGUACCCUCAGCCCGGUUGGCAAUCGGGCAACGAGCGUAAAGGUAGAAGGGUGCUUGACUGCGAGUGGGAUGCCACGAGCAGGGACGAAAGUCGGGCUUAGUGAUCCGGUGGUCCCGUAUGGAAGGGCCAUCGCUCAACAGAUAAAAGGUACUCCGGGGAUAACAGGCUUAUCUCCUCUGAGCGUUCAUAGCGGCGAGGAGGUUUGGCACCUCGAUGUCGGCUCAUCACAUCCUGGGGGUGGAGAAGCUCCCAAGGGUUCGGCUGUUCGCCGAUGAAAGUGGUACGUGAGCUGGGUUUAGACCGUCGUGAGACAGGUCGGUCCCUAUCUGCUGCGGGCGGAGGAGACUCGCGAGGCUUCCUCCCUAGUACGAGAGGACUGGGAGGGACGCACCUCUGGUGUUCCAGUUGUCGCGCUAGCGGCACCGCUGGGUAGCCACGUGCGGAACGGAUAAACGCUGAAGGCAUAUAAGCGUGAAACUCCCCUCAAGAUCAGGUCUCCAGUUGAAAAACGAAGGCUCCCGGGAGACCACCGGGUCGAUAGGCCGGAUGUGUAAGCCUAGUAAUAGGCUCAGCGGACCGGUACUAACAGCCGAGCGUUUGGCCGC